rnacentral:rRNA from 1 species
AUGCACAUUUCUUGUACCAUCUUCCAACAUAGGAGAGUGCUGCAAUCUGUAAGUUCAAAAUGUUUGCAUCAACCAAAGGUCACACGCAUGGUUUUUUCUACUUGUGUGUCUAACAUAACAGGUACGAAGCAAACUGAAUGUCAGCAAGUUGAUUGGCUUCCCUUCAAAGGAACAUUGACACCAAACCAUCUCAGGCCAUCAUCGCUACCAAAACAAGUAAAUAUGCCAUGCGCCCCCAUGCUGUGA